GGCAAACGCUGGCGGCGUGCUUAACACAUGCCAGUCGAACGGAAAGGCCCUGCUUUUGUGGGGUGCUCGAGUGGCGAACGGGUGAGUAACACGUGAGUAACCUGCCCUUGACUUUGGGAUAACUUCAGGAAACUGGGGCUAAUACCGGAUAGGAGCUCCUGCUGCAUGGUGGGGGUUGGAAAGUUUCGGCGGUUGGGGAUGGACUCGCGGCUUAUCAGCUUGUUGGUGGGGUAGUGGCUUACCAAGGCUUUGACGGGUAGCCGGCCUGAGAGGGUGACCGGCCACAUUGGGACUGAGAUACGGCCCAGACUCCUACGGGAGGCAGCAGUGGGGAAUAUUGCACAAUGGGCGGAAGCCUGAUGCAGCAACGCCGCGUGCGGGAUGACGGCCUUCGGGUUGUAAACCGCUUUCGCCUGUGACGAAGCGUGAGUGACGGUAAUGGGUAAAGAAGCACCGGCUAACUACGUG
rnacentral:rRNA from 1 species